UAAAUGGAGAAGACCAGUUUGGUGAAGCAUUCAGAAAUACCAAGAAAGCCCUUUUGUUUUCUUCACAAUUGAAAUCCAAAAAUAGGAAAAAUGGAGGACAAACUGGUAAAAAAACCUUUAACUAAAAUAGAGAUAAAAGCAUCCAAACGGAGAGUUCAACAAGCUCCGCGAACGUGGGAUUCAACAGUCUCCACGUUCUACAAACUACCAGCACCAUCUACACUAACUUUCCAAGCAGUUUUCUCCACAACCAUUGACACAAACAUGUUCAAUUUUCAAACUGAUAUUUGGACACACACAGAGAGACAUGCGAUGCUAUUUGAAUUAAUUUGGGCCAAGAUGAUUCUAUUAGGCUCCAAAGUUCAAAGGUUUGAGUAACUUUGGGCAUGAAAUUUGAUUCCUUUCAAACCAAAAUUUAUCUGCUCCAACCCCUUUGCGAUGGGAACGACGACUUGCAAAAGUAGGGAUGAAGAGUACUUCUCCUUCGACCCAUUCAUGGAAUAAGUGUGUAAUUGUCAGUUGCAUUGAAUAUCAUUAGAGAUUGUUUUAGUAAGGAAAACCUCAAAAGAGACCUUCACAUUGCCAAUGAAGGAAUAACGAUGGUUAAAACGUUCAAUGUAACUACCCGAGAGAUGUUACAAAAAGCCAGUGAAGACGUCUGCAACCUUGGGUGGGUUAAUCAAUCGGCAUUUACAGUUCCAGUUGGAGCGAGUUCAAAUGCUGGAGAGAAGCAUUUGUGGAUGACUCUUGAAUGACUCCAUCAAUAUAUGGGUUCAAUUACAAAGGAGACAUUUUGCAAGUGAAUGUGCUUAUUUUCAACUGGGUUUAUGAACAUUUUAAUGAGAGACUGAGAAUCUUGUUGGAUGAAACACGCACUCCCUCUUUUACAUCUGAAAACCCACAAACCCCUAAAAUCGCUAACCUUCAAGAACGAUUUGAGCUUUUGUUAGAGAUGAAAAUUUGAAUAAGAAGAAGACGGCAAGGAAUUUGUUUGGAGGAUUAAACAAUUUCAGUUCAAAGACAUAAUUUUUACAUUUAUCCCAUUGAAAUACAAAUUUGGGAGGAUCAAGAGAAGAAUAGAGAUUGGAUAGUUAGGUUAUUUUGUCUUAUUUAUUUAUCAAUUUUAAACUCAAAAUAACAUUUGAACAAGUUUAAGUUUUUUUGACCAAGGUGGAAUUCAACCAUUUUUCGUGGUA